UACAGAGGAGCCAAGCGUUGUCCGGAUUGACUGGGCGUAAAGCGCACGCAGGCGGGUGCGCGCGUGGGGUGUGAAAUCUGGCCGCUUAACGGCCAGGCGCCAUCCCAUACGGCGCGCCUGGAGCCUUGCAGAGGUCGGUGGAAUUGCCGGUGUAGUGGUGAAAUGCGCAGAUAUCGGGAGGAACACCGGUGGCGAAGGCGGUUCUCUGGGCCUGACCUGACGCUGAGGAGCGAAAGCCAGGGAGCGAACGGG
rnacentral:rRNA from 1 species